rnacentral:lncRNA from 1 species
GGCAAUUCAAUUAUAUUCAUUUAAAUUUUAUUUAUGAAAUUUUAUCUAUAUAAAAGAAUCGGAACGAGUAUCUUUUUUUCUCUAAUAUAGAGAAAUUGUAAUCUUGAAAUUCUAAUACUAUGGGUUUGAGAAAAAAUAGUAUACAUUUUCAUCCUUUUAAUAUUUUUCUCCCCAUUUCUAAACAAAAGGAAAUCAUUUCUUUUAAUAUUUUACUCACAUAUAUUCUUUCCUUAAAAAAAAAAAAAGAAAAAAAGAAAAAAAGAAAAACUCUCCUUUCCAACAAGAGGUUAGUCUCGAAAAUCCAAAAACAUAAAAUAACUUGGCGCAAUUAUUGAAUGAGUUGCUGAUGAAAAAAGGAAGAAAAAAAAAAAAAAGGGAAAGAAGAGGAAGCAAUAACAUCAUAUAUAUUUCUUAAACUUACCAAAAGCAGAAUUGCUAUAGCCAUAGCAUGAAUUGAAAGUAUCUUUUCUUUGAUUUGAAAAGCCCUUUGAUUAUAUGCGCAACGAACAACGACAAAUACUUCAGUAAUUAAGAAGCCAAACGAUUAGAGAAAUUGUUGGAUAAUAAGGGAAAAAAAUUUCACCAUCAUGGCUAUUGAGUUUGAAAAUGGGAAACUAAUUUUUUGAUUUUCUUUCUAUUUCUUUAAUUUUAUGAUUAUUGCAGAAGAGUUGUAACGAGAGAGAGAUAGAGAGAGAGAGAGGAAUUAUUUUUGGCAUAAUGUCUCCUAAUUUUUCUCACUU